CCUACGGGUGGCAGCAGUGGGGAAUAUUGCGCAAUGGGCGCGAGCCUGAACCAGCAACGCCGCGUGAAUGAUGACUGCCCUACGGGUUGUAAACUUCUUUUAUAAAGGAGUAAAGUGAGGCACGUAUGCCUUUUUGUCUGGACUUUAUGAAUAAGGAUCGGCUAACUCCGUGCCAGCCGCCGCGGUAAUACGGAGGAUCCGAGCGUUAUCCGGAUUUAUUGGGUUUAAAGGGAGCGUAGAUGGGUUGUUAAGUCAGUUGUGAAAGUUUGCGGCUCAACCGUAAAAUUGCAAUUGAUACUGGCAGCCUUGAGUACAGUUGAGGGAGGCGGAAUUCGUGGUGUAGCGGUGAAAUGCUUAGAUAUCACGAAGAACUCCGAUUGCGAAGGCAGCUUACUAAACUGCCACUGACAUUGAUGCUCGAAAGUGUGGGUAUCAAACAGGAUUAGAUACCCGAGUAGUC
rnacentral:rRNA from 1 species